GGGGAAUAUUUGACAAUGGGGGGAACCCUGAUACAGCCAUGCCGCGUGUGUUGAGAAGGCCCUAUGGUUGUAAAGCACCUUAAGCGAGGAGGAGGCUCUUUUGGUUAAUAUCCAAAAAGAGUGGACGUUAGCCGCAGAGAUAGCACCGGCUACAUCUGUUCCAGCAGCCGCGGUAAUACAGAGGGUGCGAGCGUUAAUCGGAUUUACUGGGCGUAAAGCGUGCGUAGGCGGCUUUUUAAGUCGGAUGUGAAAUCCCCGAGCUUAACUUGGGAAUUGCAUUCGAUACUGGGAAGCUAGAGUAUGGGAGAGGAUGGUAGAAUUCCAGGUGUAGCGGUGAAAUGCGUAGAGAUCUGGAGGAAUACCGAUGGCGAAGGCAGCCAUCUGGCCUAAUACUGACGCUGAGGUACGAAAGCAUGGGGAGCAAACA
rnacentral:rRNA from 1 species